ACGAACGCUGGCGGCGUGCCUAACACAUGCAAGUCGAACGGAGAUGUUUUGAAAGCUUGCUGAUAGACAUCUUAGUGGCGCACGGGUGAGUAACACGUGGGCAACCUACCCGGGAGUUCGGGAUAACAGUGCGAAAGUACUGCUAAUACCGGAUAUUUUCACGAAGCUGCAUGGUUUUGUGAAGAAAGUUUUUCGCUUCCCGGAUGGGCCCGCGUCCCAUUAGCUAGUUGGUGAGGUAACAGCUCACCAAGGCGACGAUGGGUAGCUG
rnacentral:rRNA from 1 species